rnacentral:rRNA from 1 species
UAACUGGGCGUAAAGGGCACGCAGGCGGCUAUUUAAGUGAGGUGUGAAAUCCCCGGGCUUAACCUGGGAAUUGCAUUUCAGACUGGGUAGCUAGAGUACUUUAGGGAGGGGUAGAAUUCCACGUGUAGCGGUGAAAUGCGUAGAGAUGUGGAGGAAUACCGAAGGCGAAGGCAGCCCCUUGGGAAUGUACUGACGCUCAUGUGCGAAAGCGUGGGGAGCAAACAGGAUUAGAUACCCUGGUAGUCCACGCUGUAAACGCUGUCGAUUUGGGGAUUGGGCCUUGAGCUUGGUGCCCGAAGCUAACGUGAUAAAUCGACCGCCUGGGGAGUACGGCCGCAAGGUUAAAACUCAAAUGAAUUGACGGGGGCCCGCACAAGCGGUGGAGCAUGUGGUUUAAUUCGAUGCAACGCGAAGAACCUUACCUACUCUUGACAUCCAUGGAAUCUUGUAGAGAUAUGAGAGUGCCUUCGGGAACCAUGAGACAGGUGCUGCAUGGCUGUCGUCAGCUCGUGUCGUGAG